rnacentral:miRNA from 1 species
CACCUCAUUGAUUGGAAGGAAUUCCUUCCGGGAAAUGGGGUUGUUAUACCUCAUUGAUCUGAAGGAAAUCCUUCUGGUCGAUGAGGUAUAACAACCCCAUCGCCCGGAAGGAAUUCCUUCCAGUCGAUGGGGUU